AUCUAAACCUGAUUGACGCGAAAAUCCUUUUUUGCCGCAUUGAGCGCAGUCGAAGUGAAAGACAAAAAAGAUUGUAGCAAAAAGCAGGACGAAGC
rnacentral:sRNA from 1 species